rnacentral:piRNA from 1 species
UUACUGUUGCCACAAUAUGGGUGACCUCAUG